UCUAUGGUAGUUCUGUGGUAGAAUUCUCACCUUCCAUGUGGGAGACCUGGGUUCGAUUCCCCACCAAUGCA
rnacentral:tRNA from 1 species